ACCGAUAGUGAACCAGUACCGUGAGGGAAAGGCGAAAAGAACCCCGAUGAGGGGAGUGAAAUAGAACCUGAAACCGUCAAUCUACAAGCAGUGGAACCCCUAUGGUUUACCAGGGGAACCGCGUGCCUUUUGCAUAAUGAGCCGGCUAGUUAUUCUCAGUGGCGAGGCGAAGCCGAAGAGGCGAAGCCGAAGGGAAACCGAGUCUGAAUAGGGCGACAGUCGCUGGGAAUAGACGCGAAACGGGAUGAUCUAUCCUUGACCAGGAUGAAGUCCGGGUGACACCGGAUGGAGGUCCGAACCAGUGUGGGUUGAAAACCGCUUGGAUGAGUUGAGGAUAGGGGUGAAAGGCCAAUCAAAUUCCGUGAUAGCUCGUUCUCCCCGAAAUAGCUUUAGGGCUAGCGUCGGAUGUUUCGUCGUGCAGGUAGAGACCUGAAUGGACUAGGGGGCUUACCAGCUUACUGAAUCCAACCAAUCUUCGAAUGGCACGCCGUGAAGUCCGGCAGUCAGACUGCGGGUGAUAAGAUCCGUAGUCGAGAGGGAAAGAACCCAGAUCGCCAGCUAAGGUCCCAAAAUACAUGCUAAGUGGAAAAGGAUGUGGAUGUGCUUAGACAGCCAGGAGGUUAGCUUAGAAGCAGCUAUCCUUUAAAGAAAGCGUAAUAGCUCACUGGUCAAGCGGGUCUGUGCCGACAAUUCAACGGGGCUAAAGCAUGUUACCGAAGCUGCGAACGUAAGUGGUAGGGGAGCAUUCCCUAGGUCUGUGAAGGUUGACCGUAAGGACAGCUGGAGACAUGGGAAGAGACUCUGUCGGCAUAAGUAGCGUAAAGACGGGCGAGAACCCCGUCCGCCGUAAGACUAAGGUUUCCAACGCAAGGUCAAUCCGCGUUGGGUUAGUCGGGCCCUAAGCUGAGGCCGAAAGGCGUAGGCGAUGGAAAGCUGGUUAAUAUUCCAGCACCAUGAGCAUCUCGUUUGUACGAUGCAGGGACGCAGGAAGGUAGGGACGCAGGGCUAUGGAAUGUUCUGCGAAAGGAUCCAAGGGUGGUGCUUAGGGAAGUCCGGGCGCCGCGAGCCCAAGGUUUCUGACGAAAAGUCCUGAUCCUACACUGCCGAGAAAAGCUGCUAAGGAGAGGUGCUUGUGUCCGUACCGCAAACCGACACAGGUAGUCGAGGAGAGAAUCCUCAGGCGUUUGAGAGAACUCUGCUGAAGGAACUCGGCAAAUUAACCCCGUAACUUCGGGAGAAGGGGUACCCCGGUAGGGUUCAUAGCCCGAGGGGGUGGCACAUAAAUGUCCCAGGCGACUGUUUAACAAAAACACAGGUCUCUGCAAACUCCAAAGAGGAGGUAUAGGGGCUGACGCCUGCCCGGUGCCGGAAGGUCAAGAGGAGCGGUCAGCGCAAGCGAAGCUGCGAAUUUAAGCCCCGGUGAACGGCGGCCGUAACUAUAACGGUCCUAAGGUAGCGAAAUUCCUUGUCGGGUAAGUUCCGACCUGCACGAAUGGCGUAACGAUCUGGAAACUGUCUCCAGCAGAGACUCAGCGAACUUGUAGCACCGGUGAAGAUGCCGGUUACCCGCACUUAGACGGAAAGACCCCGUGCACCUUUACUACACCUUGACAUUGAGGUUGGCGUUGGACUGUGCAGGAUAGGUGGGAGGCUAUGAAACUGGCUCGUUAGGGUCGGUGGAGCCAUCGUUGAGAUACCACCCUGUUUAACGCUGAUCUCUAACUCGCACCCGUGAUCCGGGUGGAAGACAAUGUCAGGCGGGUAGUUUGACUGGGGCGGUCGCCUCCUAAAGCGUAACGGAGGCGUGCGAAGGUUCCCUCAGGCUGUUUGGAAAUCAGCCGCAGAGCGCAAUAGUAUAAGGGAGCUUGACUGCGAGUCAGACACGACGAGCAGGUGCGAAAGCAGGCUAUAGUGAUCCGGUGGUCCCGAAUGGAAGGGCCAUCGCUCAACGGAUAAAAGGUACGCCGGGGAUAACAGGCUGAUCUUGCCCAAGAGUUCAUAUCGACGGCAAGGUUUGGCACCUCGAUGUCGACUCAUCACAUCCUGGGGCUGAAGCAGGUCCCAAGGGUUCGGCUGUUCGCCGAUCAAUAGUGGUACGUGAGUUGGGUUCAGAACGUCGCGAGACAGUUCGGUCCCUAUCUAGUGUGGGCGCAGGAGAUUUGAGAGGACCUGUCCUUAGUACGAGAGGACCGGGAUGGACUGACCUCUGGUGUUCCAGUUGUGCCUCCAGGUGCAAUGCUGGGUAGCUAUGUCGGGAAGUGAGAAGCGCUGAAAGCAUCUAAGCGCGAAACACCCCUCAAGAUGAGAUCU
rnacentral:rRNA from 1 species